rnacentral:rRNA from 1 species
GACGAACGCUGGCGGCGUGCCUAAUACAUGCAAGUAGAACGCUGAAGGCGGAGCUUGCUUCUCUGGAUGAGUUGCGAACGGGUGAGUAACGCGUAGGUAACCUGCCUGGUAGCGGGGGAUAACUAUUGGAAACGAUAGCUAAUACCGCAUAAUAGUAGAUGUUGCAUGACAUUUGCUUAAAAGGUGCAAUUGCAUCGCUACCAGAUGGACCUGCGUUGUAUUAGCUAGUUGGUGGGGUAACGGCUCACCAAGGCGACGAUACAUAGCCGACCUGAGAGGGUGAGCGGCCAGACUGGGAGUGAGACACGGCCCAGACUCCUUCGGGAGGCAGCAGUAGGGAUACGUCGGCAAUGGACGGAAGUCUUACCGAGCAACGCGGCGUGAGUGAGGAAGGUUGUCGGAUCGGAAAGCUCUGUUGUAAGAGAAGAACGAGUGUGAGCGUGGAAAGUUCACACUGUGACGGUAUCUGACCAGAAAGGGACGGCUAACUACGUG